rnacentral:misc_RNA from 1 species
AAGUCGUAACAAGGUCUCCGUAGGUGAACCUGCGGAGGGAUCAUUAUUGAAUUUUCUUUGCCCUCGUGGCAAAGUCCCUUUCAAACACCUGUGAACCGGGCUUCGGCCAUAUCUUUUUUAAACAACGUAUCAAGAAAGUCCUGUAGCUUGCUACAAAAAGUAAAUAAAAUACAACUUUUAGCAACGGAUCUCUUGGCUCUC